CCUACGGGAGACAGCAGUGGGGAAUAUUGGGCAAUGGGCGCAAGCCUGACCCAGCAACGCCGCGUGAAGGAAGAAGGCUUUCGGGUUGUAAACUUCUUUUCUGAGGGACGAAGAAAGUGACGGUACCGCAGGAAUAAGCCACGGCUAACUACGUGCCAGCAGCCGCGGUAAGACGUAGGUGGCAAGCGUUAUCAGGAUUUAUUGGGUGUAAAGGGCGUGUAGGGGGGAAAGCAAGUCAGAUGUGAAAACUCAGGGCUCAACCCUGAGCCUGCAUUUGAAACUGUUUUUCUUGAGUGCUGGAGAGGCAAUCGGAAUUCCGUGUGUAGCGGUGAAAUGCGUAGAUCUCCGGAGGAACCCCAGUGGCGAAGGCGGAUUGCUGGACAGUAACUGACGCUGAGGCGCGAAAGCGUGGGGAGCAAACAGGAUUAGAUACCCGAGUAGUC
rnacentral:rRNA from 1 species